AAGUCGUAACAAGGUUUCCGUAGAAAGUACGAACGAAUUUAAUGAUUCUUCUGCGGUUGAAACUUAUCGAAGCCUUAGUAGCCAGAAAGGGUGCUUUGCGCGACUAUAAACAAUGACGAAGCUUAAAUGCUAGUGAAGACAGUGUUCGCACUGAAUAAUCUUUGCAAAACCAUCGAAUUGCGGGGACGCCCUUUAGAGCUUCACGUACGGCCAAUCGUUCGAAAGGAUUGAUUCGGCAUCAGGUUAAUGGCCUCGAGUAUCGUAAUAACCGUGAAGAUUGGGUAAUCCGCAGCCAAGUGCUAAACAAGUAUUGGUAAACUCUACUUGCAUGCUAAUGGUUCACAGACUAAGUAUGGUUGGGGAGAUGUCUAGUCUCUCUUAAGAUAUAGUCGGGCACCUCGGGAAACCUUGGUGGUAAUUCAACUGUGAAUAUGCUCUAGCUUCGCCUAGUUCAUAUCAAUAUGAAAUAACUGUUCCGUAGGUGAACCUGCGGAAGGAUCAUUAGUGAAUUUUAGGGUGCUCUUCCUCAGCUGUUUAACCGGCUGAGUGAAGGGGCCUGACCUCCACUCUCUAACACUGUGGCACACUUCGGCAUUGCGAACGCUGCUUGUCAGCUAGUAGCUUUGCGGCUUCAUUUUUAACACUAGUCAAGAAUGUAAACAAACCAUACAAAAAAG
rnacentral:misc_RNA from 1 species